rnacentral:misc_RNA from 1 species
GAACGCAUAUUGCGCUCUUUGGUAUUCCGAAGAGCAUGCUUGUUUGAGUAUCAGUAAACACCUCAAAGCUUUUGAUUUUUUUUAAAAGUUUUGGACUUGAGCAAUCCCAACACCAAUCUUUUUCAGAUCGGCGGCGGGUUGCUUGAAAUGCAGGUGCAGCUGGACAUUCUCCUGAGCUAAAAGCAUAUUUAUUUAGUCCCGUCAAACGGAUUAUUACUUUUGCUGCAGCUAACAUAAAGGAUAAUUGUCCUCUUUGCUGACUGAUGCAGGAUUUUACGACACUUUAUGUGUUGUUCAACUCGAUCUCAAAUCAAGUAAGACUACCCGCUGAACUUAAG